GGUGAUAGAGUUAGGGAGGGAGUGACUAGUGACAGAGUGAGGGAGGGGGUGACUAGUGACAGAGUGAGGGAGCGGGUGACACAGUGACAGAGUUAGGGAGGGAGUGACUAGUGACAGAGAGAGGGAUGGGGUGACUAGUGACAGUCACCCCCCCUCACUCUGUCACCAGUCAUCCCCUCACUCUGUCACUAGUCAUCUCUUCCCUCCCUCACUCUGCCACUAGUCACCCAUUCCCUCACUCUGUCUCUAGUCUCCCCCUCUCCUUCCCUCUGUCACUAGUCACCCACUCCCUCACUCUGUCACCAGUCACCCCCACUCACUGUGUCU